GGGGCAUUAGCUCAGUUGGCUAGAGCGCGACACUGGCAGUGUCGAGGUCAAGGGUUCAACUCCCUUAUGCUCCACCA
rnacentral:tRNA from 1 species